AAGUCGAGCGAGAAAGGGUAGCAAUACCUGAGUAAAGCGGCGCACGGGUGAGUAACACGUGGAUAACCUGCCUCAAAGUGGGGAAUAACACCGGGAAACCGGUGCUAAUACCGCAUAUUCUGAUGAGAUCUGCGGAUUUUAUCAGGAAAGGAGCAAUUCGCUAUGAGAGGGGUCCGCGGCUGAUUAGCUAGUUGGUGAGGUAAUGGCUCACCAAGGCUUCGAUCAGUAGCCGGUCUGAGAGGACGGUCGGCCACACUGGAACUGAGACACGGUCCAGACUCCUACGGGAGGCAGCAGUGGGGAAUUUUUCGCAAUGGGGGCAACCCUGACGAAGCAAUGCCGCGUGGAUGAUGAAGUAUCUCGGUACGUAAAAUCCUUUCGACGGGGACGAAACCGCAAGGUUGACGGUACCCGUAGAAGAAGCCCCGGCUAACUCCGUGCCAGCAGCCGCGGUAAUACGGGGGGGGCGAGCGUUGUUCGGAAUUACUGGGCGUAAAGGGUGCGUAGGCGGCUUUCUAAGUCGGAUGUGAAAACUCUGGGCUCAACCCAGAGCCUGCAUCCGAAACUGGAGAGCUAGGGUUCUGGAGGGGAAAGCGGAAUUCCUGGUGUAGCGGUGAAAUGCGUAGAUAUCAGGAGGAACACCGGUGGCGAAGGCGGCUUUCCGGACAGAUACCGACGCUGAGGCACGAAAGCUAGGGGAGCAAACAGGAUUAGAUACCCUGGUAGUCCUAGCCCUAAACGAUGGAUACUUGCUGUGGGGGGGGAUUGAAGCCCCUUGUGGCGAAGCUAACGCAUUAAGUAUCCCGCCUGGGGAGUGCGGUCGCAAGGCUGAAACUCAAAGGAAUUGACG
rnacentral:rRNA from 1 species